GACGAACGCGGCGGCGUGCCUAAUACAUGCAAGUAGAACGCACAGGAUGCACCGUAGUUUACUACACCGUAUUCUUUGAGUUGCGAACGGGUGAGUAACGCGUAGGUAACCUGCCUGGUAGCGGGGGAUAACUAUUGGAAACGAUAGCUAAUACCGCAUAAGAACAUCUACUGCAUGGUAGAUGUUUAAAAGGUGCAAAUGCAUCACUACCAGAUGGACCUGCGUUGUAUUAGCUAGUUGGUGAGGUAACGGCUCACCAAGGCAACGAUACAUAGCCGACCUGAGAGGGUGAUCGGCCACACUGGGACUGAGACACGGCCCAGACUCCUACGGGAGGCAGCAGUAGGGAAUCUUCGGCAAUGGGGGGAACCCUGACCGAGCAACGCCGCGUGAGUGAAGAAGGUUUUCGGAUCGUAAAGCUCUGUUGUUAAGGAAGAACGUGUGUGAGAGUGGAAAGUUCACACAGUGACGGUACUUAACCAGAAAGGGACGGCUAACUACGUGCCAGCAGCCGCGGUAAUACGUAGGUCCCGAGCGUUGUCCGGAUUUAUUGGGCGUAAAGCGAGCGCAGGCGGUUAGAUAAGUCUGAAGUGAAAGGCAGUGGCUCAACCAUUGUAGGCUUUGGAAACUGUUUAACUUGAGUGCAGAAGGGGAGAGUGGAAUUCCAUGUGUAGCGGUGAAAUGCGUAGAUAUAUGGAGGAACACCGGUGGCGAAAGCGGCUCUCUGGUCUGUAACUGACGCUGAGGCUCGAAAGCGUGGGGAGCGAACAGG
rnacentral:rRNA from 1 species